AGUAAUGGUGGCUCAGGCGGGGCCGACUUCGGUCGGGCCGGUAUCCGUUAGAGCCGGUAUUUCCACCCCCGUCUGGGCUACCACCACU
ncrna:Salmonella enterica subsp. enterica serovar Typhi str. Ty2 C4 antisense RNA